rnacentral:misc_RNA from 1 species
GGAAUAUUGGGCAAUGGGCGCAAGCCUGACCCAGCAACGCCGCGUGAAGGAAGAAGGCCCUCGGGUUGUAAACUUCUUUUAUUCGGGACGAAGAAGUGACGGUACCGAAUGAAUAAGCCACGGCUAACUACGUGCCAGCAGCCGCGGUAAUACGUAGGUGGCAAGCGUUAUCCGGAUUUACUGGGCGUAACGCGCACGCAGGCGGUUUGUUAAGUCAGAUGUGAAAUCCCCGGGCUCAACCUGGGAACUGCAUCUGAUACUGGCAAGCUUGAGUCUCGUAGAGGGGGGUAGAAUUCCAGGUGUAGCGGUGAAAUGCGUAGAGAUCUGGAGGAAUACCGGUGGCGAAGGCGGCCCCCUGGACGAAGACUGACGCUCAGGUGCGAAAGCGUGGGGAGCAAACAGGA